UGUUUCAUUUUAUAAACAAGUGUCUUGAAUAUAAUUAAAUAUAUUUCAAAUAAGUUUUGAAAAAUUUUACAGGUGAAAACAUUUUCAUUACUAAUUAAUAAAGAAUGAUUUUUCGGCUAACUUAAUUAAUUUUGUAUUGUCUAAAACUAAAACUAGAAUUAGUUACUCCUCAAUUACGAUAAGUGAUGUGGAAAAUAUUCCAGCACUGCUUUUAUAAAAAAAUAUUUUAUAUCAUGAAACUAUUUCAAGUUUUUGUGUGAUAACCUUUGCUAUAUUUUUUUUUGUUAUACUAUAACUAUAGUUAAGUUAUGUAAAGCAACUGAACAAAAAAUGAGUCAGUGGAAAAAGUCUUAAUAUAUUUCUGUAAAAAAAAAUGCUGAUAAUAGGAAAAAAAUUGUUUUAUGAUAUGAAAUUGAAAUUAAUAGUGUCAUCUAUUAUCAUAUUUGUAAUUUUCAUUAUAUCAAAAGUGUCUCCUUUAUGAUUUGAUUUUGUUGAUUAUUAUUUGCUUGUAUAUCCUUUCAUUAAAGAAACAUCUAUUAUUUUUAAAAUUAUAUUAUGUAUAAUAUAACAAUCAUAAAAUCGAAUCAAUUCUAAGAAUAGAUAAUCGUAUCAUAAAACUUGUUUCUGAAGUUUGAAUUGUCUGGUUUUGGUGCCAUCAUCAAUUUCUUGCACCUCAUCCUCUCUUUUAUACGGACUCAAUCUUUCCAUUUGCUGGCUAAUUAUCUUCAACAGAUUCAAUAUCAUAGCCAUCACAACAUGGUUUAUGAUCAAUCUUCUCCUCAUUGUCAACAACAUCAGGCUCACACUUCUCCAACCUUCUCUUUCUUUUAGAAUUAAUUUUUCUAAUUCCAAAUUCAUCGACAUUCUCGUCUAAAUUGUUUUCCUUCUUCCCAUAAUCAUUCAUAAAGUCCAGACAAUUUGGAAGAGAGAAAGAUAAAGAAUGGUUUUAGUGGUUGACUGCUCUCAGUUGAAAGGCCAAUUUUUUCCACAUAAGAAAACUUAAGAUGGGAAAAGUCCCUUAAAAUUUAAGCUGAGUCCCCUCAAAUGCUUGCGAAAGCCCUCACCCAAUCUCUAAAAGAAUAGGCAACUGAAUACCUCUUCAGUUAGAAGUUGAAGUCACAGGGCUGAAGCAAGCAAAACAGGAUCACAUCAAAUCUUAAAGAAAAAGGAACCCUAAAAGUCCCAUCCAGCCUCUCUUCAGUGUGGUUAAAGCAAAGAAAUCAUCAUCGAGCAAUUGCAUAUAAAUACAAUGACAGACAAAAAAACAUUAGUGAACCAAAGAAUAACAUGCAACAAUUCCAUUUAAAAUCAAACAAAAAUUACAGAUACAAAUUUGGCCAUAAAUUCCUUAAUUUUAAAGAAUAAUAAUGGAGAACAACAUCCUAACAGACGAAAAAUAUCAUAAAAAAAAAUACUUGCAGCAGAAUUAUUUCUUUAUACAAAAAUGAAAAAAGAACCAGAAAGCGAAAAACACAAACUCUACAAAAGAUUAUACAUUUUGAAUCCUACGAGAAAUAGAUAAUAUCCAUUAAAACAGGGACCAUACCAGUCCAUUGAUAAACCGUUCAAUUUCGCAUCUUUUCGUACCUUCCAUUCCAAUGUAAUACAAAUAGAAAACAAUAUAAGAUGCAGUUACAAUCACAAAAAGAAAUGCUUACUCAGAAAAAUCGUUGAAGAGAUAACUAGGGUUAGGAAAAAAUAUCAGAUCUGAGAAAAUAGAGACUGACUACUGACGAGGAAGAAGGGGCUGGAUCUUGAUAUAUAUAUCCCCAAUUGACUAGGGUUUAGUCAAAUUACCAAUUUGCCACUGUAACGGUAUACUCAAGCUAAAUUUGAACCUAACAGAUUAAAUUAAAAGUUAAAAUCUCAUAUUUAAAAUAUAUAUUAAUCUUUAUAGACCUUACGUCUAUCUACUAUUAAUCAAUAUAAAUAUUUAUUCU
rnacentral:lncRNA from 1 species